AUACGGAGGGUCCGAGCGUUAUCCGGAAUCAUUGGGUUUAAAGGGUCCGCAGGCGGAUUAAUAAGUCAGUGGUGAAAUCCUCUCGCUCAACGAGAGAACUGCCAUUGAAACUGUUAGUCUUGAAUUCGGUCGAAGUAGGCGGAAUGUGUCAUGUAGUGGUGAAAUGCAUAGAUAUGACACAGAACACCGAUAGCGAAGGCAGCUUACUAGACCUGGAUUGACGCUCAUGGACGAAAGCGUGGGGAGCGAACAGGAUUAGAAACCCGGGUAGUCC
rnacentral:rRNA from 1 species